rnacentral:rRNA from 1 species
UUGGGCCUACGGGAGGUAGCAGUGAGGAAUAUUGGUCAAUGGGCGAGAGCCUGAACCAGCCAAGUCGCGUGAGGGAGUACUGCCCUAUGGGUUGUAAACCUCUUUUGUCGGGGAGCAAAAGCCGGACGUGUCCGGCUGUGAGAGUACCCGAAGAAAAAGCAUCGGCUAACUCCGUGUCAGCAGCCGCGGUAAUACGGAGGCUGCGAGCGUUAUCCGGAUUUAUUGGGUUUAAAGGGUGCGCAGGCGGAUUUUUAAGUCAGCGGUCAAUUCGUAGGGCUUCACCCCAUCCAGCCGUU